CUGCUAACAGCUUCACUCUGUCAACCUACUGUAAAACGUUAAGGCUCUGCAUUACAUAUCCUUAAUCAUUCUUUCUUCACACAAAAGAAUCUGAUUUUUCACAUCAAGCUUGAUGAAAAAGCUACCAGUUGGUUAUGCAAGUUCAGCACAUGGAACAGAUGCCAAGAAUUGCUGGCAGAACAUUACUGACUGAGAAAGCGAGAGACCUUUUGGAAAUUUCUAAAGCUAAUCUGUUAUCCCAGUUUUGCCCACUGACUCUUCCCCUUUGUUGGAUAUCACAAGCUUGAGUCUGGAUUCAUCUUUUCAUCCUCCCGUCAGGGUCAAAGCAUUGUCAACAUGAUCUUUAACCACGACCUGAGCUGAGUUAAACUCUUAGGAUAUGACAUCUCAGCCACGUUGCAAGAUCUCGGAGUCCAACAAGUUUCUUAGAUGCAACUCCCACUGGCAGGCUAAUGAACCAUUUUCCUAAUAAUAUAGAUGAAUUGGUCAUGAGCCUCCCACUUCACGCUGAGUACUUUUUGCAGGAGUUUAAAGCGUUUUUUAUUCCAGUCAUAACAACUCAUGUUUUUUCUUUUCUGCAAAUCGAAGUUGCUACCAGCUAUUAUUUUGGUUUUGUUUUAAAGUAAGCCGAUAUACAUUUCUUUCAAG
rnacentral:lncRNA from 1 species